rnacentral:piRNA from 1 species
UGGUUCAGAAAUGCAUUUGUUUGAGACUG